rnacentral:rRNA from 1 species
CGAACGCUGGCGGCGUGCCUAAUACAUGCAAGUAGAACGCUGAAGGAGGAGCUUGCUCUUCUGGAUGAGUUGCGAACGGGUGAGUAACGCGUAGGUAACCUGCCUGGUAGCGGGGGAUAACUAUUGGAAACGAUAGCUAAUACCGCAUAACAGUAGAUGUUGCAUGACAUUUGCUUAAAAGGUGCAAUUGCAUCACUACCAGAUGGACCUGCGUUGUAUUAGCUAGUUGGUGAGGUAACGGCUCACCAAGGCAACGAUACAUAGCCGACCUGAGAGGGUGAUCGGCCACACUGGGACUGAGACACGGCCCAGACUCCUACGGGAGGCAGCAGUGGGGAAUCUUCGGCAAUGGACGGAGGUCUGACCGAGCAACGCCGCGUGAGUGAAGAAGGUUUUCGGAUCGUAAAGCUCUGUUGUAAGAGAAGAACGAGUGUGAGAGUGGAAAGUUCACACUGUGACGGUAUCUUACCAGAAAGGGACGGCUAACUACGUG